rnacentral:rRNA from 1 species
UACGUAGGGGGCUAGCGUUGUCCGGAAUCAUUGGGCGUAAAGCGCGUGUAGGCGGCCCGAUAAGUCCGCUGUGAAAGUCCAGGGCUCAACCCUGGGAUGCCGGUGGAUACUGUCGGGCUCGAGUCCGGAAGAGGCGAGUGGAAUUCCUGGUGUAGCGGUGAAUGCGCAGAUAUCAGGAGGAACACCAAUGGCGAAGGCAGCUCGCUGGGACGUGACUGACGCUGAGACGCGAAAGCGUGGGGAGCAAACAGG